CAAGGAAUCAAAUUGGAGUGCCCUAAUGUAUGUCAAUGGUUAUAUUGAAAGCACUGUAUUGUGUUAUUGAAGGAGACACGUAGUACUGUAUGUGUGUGUAUAGGAUCAGUUGAGACGUCUAGCAGAGAUAGAGCUAAUGAAGAAAAAAGUUAAAGAACUUGAAACAGCUAAAGAUGAUGUAGCUGGCGCUUUGGAACAAGGAACAGAAAUUGAUGGUCAUGCAGCUUCGCAUUCAUUUAGAGGACCAGCUGAAACUUCUGAUGUUCCAUUGAGAAGUGGAAAAGACUUUACGCCAUCAUCAUGGAAACCAAACGAUUGAAUUAUAUCAACAUGCUAUGUUGUAACAUUGAUUGAUUGAUUAUUAGUCAAAAUCACUAUAAUAUAUGACAUUCUGUCCUUGUUUUGUGUAAUAGAAAUGACAAUGUAAAUGGA